UUCUUCAUUAAAAAUCCUAUAGUUUUUUUUCUCAAAUCUUCAUUAUCAAACAUUGAAUUUUUCUUCUUCACGAUUUUCUUUUUAAUUAAUUCGCCAAAACUAUCUUCUUCUUCUUCUAAAAAAAUAUUGAUAGAAGUAUUUUAUUUGAAUCAGACUUAUAAUGGAUGGUGAUAGUUUAUAUUCUCUGCUUGUGAUGCAUGGAGAAAGAUCAGACGUAACUAAUUUUUUUUUGUUUUAUUCAACUAAUUGUGUUAUUUUAGUUUUCUAUUCGAAAUUCAUAUCGUUUUGUUGAACAUAAUUGAAAUCCUUUUUUUGAACAUAUUUGUGUAAAUUUUAUUAUUUUUGUCAACAAAAAAAAAGUUCACAUUCUUUUCACACUCUAAUACAAUUUCGACAAAUUUAGUCUUAUUGAUUUAGUAUAAACAGUUAGCAUAGUAUUUUUUAAUAAAAAAAAUUGAUGUGUAUGUUUUGUUAGUAUUAAAAUCUAUUGACAGUUUCAUAUUUCAUGUCUUUACAUUUUUUGAUGUGUAUGUUUUGUGAGUAUUAAAAUUUGUUGAAAUUUUCAUAUUUCAUAUCUCUACAUCCUUACAUUGGUUAGUAAAAAAUAUUGUAUUAUGUUUACAGGUAGACCUAAAGAUUCUUCUGUGCAUAGGAUUAUGUAUGAUCCAGAUACCAAGUAUAAAGGAUUGGUAAAUGCAAUAGCAAAACAACUCCAGAUUGACAUUAACUCAAUUUAAAUUGAGAUCAAGUUCUUAAUAAGUGAUCGAUGCCCGCCAAUUAUCAUACACAAUGAUACAGGAGUAAAGGUAUAUCUAGAUUAAAAGAAGAAUGUUGCAGAUUUCUUCAUUAAAUUUUCAUGGGCACGAUAUUGAGGGAUAUGACUAUGGAUGUAAUAGUGUAGUGCUGAAUUCAUUAUUGAUGAAAGUAGUUUACAUUCAACUAAAGGAAACCAUUUGUAGGGGGGUGCGCGGAUUUAAUAGGUCUAAUAGAUUGAUUAGGUUUCUAGUGAAUCUAUUUUUAUUUGUGCGUGGAUAUUUUUUAAAUUUUGUUUCAAUAUCUUUUAAUAAUUUACUUUUUUCGUAAGAUAUAUUCAUUAAUUAUUUUAUCCUGUAGUAAUUGCAGAGUUACAAAUUCCUGUAUAAUAAUUUAUCCUAUUUGUGCUAUAAUGUAUAUCUAAUUCUAGAUUUUCAAUGUUAUUUAUUAUCUUGUGUUGUUCUUCUCGUAGUGAGUUUUUUAAACUAUAUAAACUAUCACAUGUGCUUUUAUCUAAAUUUUCUAAAGUUUUU
rnacentral:lncRNA from 1 species